rnacentral:rRNA from 1 species
AUUGAACGCUGGCGGCAUGCUUUACACAUGCAAGUCGAACGGCAGCACGGGCUUCGGCCUGGUGGCGAGUGGCGAACGGGUGAGUAAUGCAUCGGAACGUACCGUGUAGUGGGGGAUAACGUAGCGAAAGUUACGCUAAUACCGCAUACGCCCCGAGGGGGAAAGUGGGGGACCGCAAGGCCUCACGCUAUAUGAGCGGCAGAUGGCGGAUUAGCUAGUUGGUAGGGUAAAGGCCUACCAAGGCGACGAUCCGUAGCGGGUCUGAGAGGAUGAUCCGCCGCACUGGGACUGAGACACGGCCCAGACUCCUACGGGAGGCAGCAGUGGGGAAUUUUGGACAAUGGGCGCAAGCCUGAUCCAGCCAUGCCGCGUGAGUGAAGAAGGCCUUCGGGUUGUAAAGCUCUUUCAGACGGAAAGAAAUCUCUCAGGAUAAUACCUUGGGAGGAUGACGGUACCGUAAGAAGAAGCACCGGCUAACUANGUNCCAGCAGCCGCCGCCG